UGUCCACGUCAACAUCGAGCC
rnacentral:siRNA from 1 species